rnacentral:rRNA from 1 species
GAUGAACGCUGGCGGCGUGCCUAAUACAUGCAAGUCGAGCGAACAGACGAGGAGCUUGCUCCUUUGACGUUAGCGGCGGACGGGUGAGUAACACGUGGAUAACCUACCUAUAAGACUGGGAUAACUUCGGGAAACCGGAGCUAAUACCGGAUAACAUGUUGAACCGCAUGGUUCAACAGUGAAAGACGGUCUUGCUGUCACCUAUAGAUGGAUCCGCGCCGCAUUAGCUAGUUGGUAAGGUAACGGCUUACCAAGGCAACGAUGCGUAGCCGACCUGAGAGGGUGAUCGGCCACACUGGAACUGAGACACGGUCCAGACUCCUACGGGAGGCAGCAGUAGGGAAUCUUCCGCAAAGGGCGAAAGCCUGACGGAGCAACGCCGCGUGAGUGAAGAAGGUCUUCGGAUCGUAAAACUCUGUUAUUAGGGAAGAACAAAUGUGUAAGUAACUAUGCACGUCUUGACGGUACCUAAUCAGAAAGCCACGGCUAACUACGUG